GAUGAACGCUGGCGGCGUGCCUAAUACAUGCAAGUCGAGCGAACAGACGAGGAGCUUGCUCCUCUGACGUUAGCGGCGGACGGGUGAGUAACACGUGGAUAACCUACUUAUAAGACUGGGAUAACUUCGGGAAACCGGAGCUAAUACCGGAUAAUAUAUUGAACCGCAUGGCUCAAUAGUGAAAGACGGUUUUGCUGUCACUUAUAGAUGGAUCCGCGCCGCAUUAGCUAGUUGGUAAGGUAACGGCUUACCAAGGCAACGAUGCGUAGCCGACCUGAGAGGGUGAUCGGCCACACUGGAACUGAGACACGGUCCAGACUCCUACGGGAGGCAGCAGUAGGGAAUCUUCCGCAAUGGGCGAAAGCCUGACGGAGCAACGCCGCGUGAGUGAUGAAGGUCUUCGGAUCGUAAAACUCUGUUAUUAGGGAAGAACAAAUGUGUAAGUAACUAUGCACGUCUUGACGGUACCUAAUCAGAAAGCCACGGCUAACUACGUG
rnacentral:rRNA from 1 species